rnacentral:rRNA from 1 species
GACGAACGCUGGCGGCGUGCCUAAUACAUGCAAGUAGAACGCUGAAGGAGGAGCUUGCUUCUCUGGAUGAGUUGCGAACGGGUGAGUAACGCGUAGGUAACCUGCCUGGUAGCGGGGGAUAACUAUUGGAAACGAUAGCUAAUACCGCAUAAUAGUAGAUGUUGCAUGACAUUUGCUUAAAAGUUGCAAUUGCAUCACUACCAGAUGGACCUGCGUUGUAUUAGCUAGUUGGUGAGGUAACGGCUCACCAAGGCGACGAUACAUAGCCGACCUGCGAGGGGGAUCGGCCACACUGGGACUGAGACACGGCCCAGACUCCUACGGGAGGCAGCAGUAGGGAAUCUUCGGCAAUGGACGGAAGUCUGACCGAGCAACGCCGAGUGAGUGAAGAAGGUUGUCGGAUCGUAAAGCUCUGUUGUAAGAGAAGAACGAGUGUGAGAGUGGAAAGUUCACACUGUGACGGUAUCUGACCAGAAAGGGACGGCUAACUACGUG